UACGUAGGGGGCAAGCGUUGUCCGGAAUCAUUGGGCGUAAAGCGCGUGUAGGCGGUUCAGUAAGUCUGCUGUGAAAGUCCAGGGCUCAACCCUGGGAUGCCGGUGGAUACUGCUGGGCUAGAGUACGGAAGAGGCGAGUGGAAUUCCUGGUGUAGCGGUGAAAUGCGCAGAUAUCAGGAGGAACACCGAUUGCGAAGGCAGCUCGCUGGGACGUAACUGACGCUGAGACGCGAAAGCGUGGGGAGCAAACAGG
rnacentral:rRNA from 1 species